AUGCAAAAUGAGGCAGAACUUAGCUUGUCACAUAGGUGUAUUCUUCCUGGAACCGAUGCGGGGUCAGAAAACUGAUGGCUUUUAAGCAAGCUGGACGGGUCCUCUCAGCGCAUUCCCCCACCCGCCUGGCGCCAAUGGAGCUGGCCUGGCCCGCCCAGCCCCUCCCCGCCCCGUCCGCGCUCGGACCGGACUUUCAGGACUGCAGGGGAAAGGGUGGACACCCAGCCUCCCGCCAGGUCAGAGCAGAGGCUAAAAAUGGCCCAGGGGAGACUGCUGGAGUUGCAUGGAGUUCGGGAGCCUAGGAGGGGUCUGAAAAUAACUGUCAAAAAGUUUGAAGGGAGGAUACAAAAAUACAUCAGUUUGCAAACCAGAAGAAGGUCCUCACCAGAAACCAACUAUGCUGGCACCCUGAUCUUGGACUUCUAGCCUCCAGAACUGUGAGAAAUAAAUGUGUGUUUAUAAACCAGUCAGUCAGUCUAUGGUGCUUUAUUAUAGCAUCUGGAACGAGCUAAGACAGCUGCUAAGUAGCAUUCCAUUUGACAAGGAAGACUUACCAUUCACACUACUUCUGAGUUCAAUGAAAGAGAGGCUCGGUAAGUUUUAAAAAUCAAAUUUCAAUGACUUAGUCUAAUUCUCAUUAAUAAUUUAAAUUAUUUUUCUAAGAUAUGUUUUACAUCUUCUAAAAAUUUACCGGUUUGUUAUAAGCAUAUCCAAUUAAUGCUUGAGAUUUUACCUGAUUAGAUCUGCACUUUUACAUCCAACAUUUGCAGGAAGCUUCAUUCUACCAGUUCAAAUCCAGAUUUACAGGUAGUUAACCCAUCUGUUUUGGGUUUUUUUUCUGCUUCUAUUUCAUAGAAGGCUAGAGCUGCUGGAGAAAAAUGUAUAACCUUGAUGACUGAAUGCCUUACAAUCUUUGAUUUAAACUCGGCUGAGUCGUAAUGUCUCUAAAAUCCUUCUAUUCAUAUAGUCAGUGUUCUCUUUUAUUCUCUGUAUUUGUUGUCUGAACUGUCAUCAUUAUCCUAAAGUUACCAAAUUCAUCACUUGAACAUGUUACUUUGCCUUCUACAUGACCCAGAAAAUCAUAGGCCAUCAAAUAUGAACAUUCAUUUUUCUUUCCUUUUUCUCUUCAAUCUACAUCAAGUUGCUCUCCCUACCUUGCUUUAGAAGGAGGUCUUUAUUCCUGUCCAUGCCUUUCUUCCAGAUUUUCUUUUGAUAGUCUAAUUAUGUUGUCUGUGACUUGCCAGCUUUAUUAUUCCUCUCUGUUCCUUUUCACUAUAUUUCCUUUCCUCUUAUCCUUCCUCUAUCAGCCACAUAAGUCACUCAGCCUUAAAAAAAGCUUGCUUAUAUGCCAUGCCUGCUUUUUCACGCUACCUUUUGCCUCAUUAAAAAAAAAAAACUUUAUUCAUAUGUAAUUUAAGUACUGUAAAAUUCACGUGUUAAAAUUAUAUAGUUCACCUGAUAACAAUUCAGGGUUAUAAAGCCAUCAUCAAAAUGUAAUCUUUGAACCUGAGCAUUUCCAUCACCACAAAAAGAAACUUUUUACCAUCUGUAGUCACUCCCCAGUCACACUUGCAGCCCUAGGCAACCACUAGUCUAUUUCUGCCUCGGUGGAUUUGCCUUUUAUAGACAUUUCAUAUAAUGCUUGGUCUUUGGGGUCUGGCUUCUUUCACUUAAUGUUUCUGAGGCUUCUUCAUGUUGUAACAUGUAUUGGUACUUCAUUCCUUCUUACCACCAAAUAACAUUACUUUGUAUAAGAUAUACCACAUUUUAUUGAUCCGUUCAUCCAUUGAUGGAUAUUUGGAUUGUUCAUACCUUGCAGCUAUUGUGAAUAAUGUAGGAACAUCUAGGUAAUUAAGUUUUUUUGUUGACCUGUUUUCAUUUCACAUAUAUACAUAGAAGUGAAACUGCUGGGUCAAAAUGGUGGCUUUCAAUGUACAAAAAGGUUUAAUUUUGAUGAAGUCCAAAUUUAUCAAUAUUUUUAUCACAUCCGUGCUUUGCAUUGUAUCUAAGAAAUCACUGACUAAUCCAAAGUUCGAAGAUUAACUAUUAUGUUUUUUCUAUGAGUUUUAUUUUAUUUAGCUCUUAUAUUAGGUCUUUGAUCUAACAUAGGACUUUGAUCUAAUAUAGGUCUAAUAUAGAUCUUUGAUCUUAUAUAGG
rnacentral:lncRNA from 1 species